AACUAGAAGUAUGGAAAGUUUUUGCUUCCUGUUUUAUCCAUUUCUAUAUUGUUGAGCUUUUUAAAAGCAAGUGUAAAUUACUUUUAUAAUUGGAUGAAAAAAGCAAUAAGAUAUGCAUGGCUUGAUGAGAGGUAUGUAGGUCCGCACCCGACAUCCGAACCCUCAAACCCCCGGGCCGCUGAAGCAGAGCACACAAACUUAGCCACUACACUACCAGGCCAGUCCCUGAGCUUUUAAAAUUGAAGAAGGACAACAAAAAUCCAUUUUCCCAGUGGCAGACAGGCAGAGUAGGUGGCCACAAAGGCUGUCCCUGCCCAGAUCCUGGGAUUAUUGGGCAGGAGCUUUCCAGGGUGGAAAGGAGAAAAGUCAGCUUCUCCCAGGACCGCAGAGUACAUGAGGGCUAUCCUAUUGGCAGAAUGUGGCUCACCCACAACCCAAAGGGCCUUCUCCUUCUGCUAUAGAUGAAUUAAUGAACUUAAUAAAGUUGAGUGAAACUCUUCAGCUCAAUCUAGAGAUAGUCUAUUUACAUAUUUACAUAUGAAAAGAGGGGGCAGAGGCAGGUAAAUGAUGAGAGGUGAGGUGUGCAGCCAAGGGAGGGGUUGGAUGCGGGAAGAACUAGAGGCCAAACUGGGAAAGGUGGAGGUGGCCCGGGUCAAUUCCAGAGACUCAUUUACCUGCUGUCCAUCAUAGGUUCGUGUGGGCGCUUGGGGCUUUUUUAAAGGAACUUGAAUGGGUUGGGAAAUUGAAAUUCUCACUGGGAUUAUUAUUAUUUUUGAAGUGUUUCCCUUUGGAUCCUUGCUUUCUCGAUAGGAACAUGCUAAAUAUUAAAAGAGCCAGUUGUCAUUUCUUUCAAUACCACAGGAGAUUUCAAGGGGGGGGGAAAUUAACCUUGCUGUGUAGGCAACUUUACAAGAAUGCCUCAAUUUCACAUGUUGUGGGAUAGCUGUAUUAAUCUGGCAUAGAUAGAAAGCAAUUUCUAUUAAUACAGUCUUUUGUCUUUAUUUGCAGUGGGCAGUUCACCAAUAACGCAUUUGAGAAAAUUGCUCACCAACAGCAUUAGAAUUGAGUGAAUUUCGCCAUAUUACUUUUUCAAGCCUCUGACAACUUGACAGGCAGAUUCUUUUAGAGCAAGAAACGUGCAAGGAUAAAGUACAAGAUUAUGGAAAGACAAACUUUCUUGCUUCUUUCUGAUGACAAAAAGCCAAUCAAGCCCAGGUGACUGUUUGCUGAACACGUGUGGGCUGCUUCACGCCGGAGCAGCACAGCUGGGCUGGACAGAGAGGGGAACCACACCACAUGGAAGCCUGGCUCCUCCCUCCCACCCACACACAGCAUAGAUGCAGCCUAUCGGUCUCCUUCUACAAAAUGAGAAAAAAGUUCAUUGUAUAUUUGCGUGGUGCCAAAGGAUCACUCUACAAAUGACUUGCCAGUUAUAAGGGGGAGAACAGGACUUUACAAUGGGGGAAUCUGGAGGCCACCACUCAAACCCCGUGACCAAUUUCGGCGUCACCUAUAGUGAGACACUAGACAAUAUGUACUUCCUGAUACGAUGCCAUGUGAAGUACAGGUCUUUAUCUGUGAAGCAGUGCUGCCAAAAUGUGUAAUCUACAUCUAAGCAAGCCUUCCAUGUCGACAUUUCGGUUUAUGGGAAAUACUGGUGAUUAAGGGACACGUUAAGUGAUACCACGAGGAAAUCUAGAAGUUGGGAUGUUCUACUAGGCAACUGGCCCAGACUUCUCAACAAGCCAAAGUCAUGUAAAGAAAGAAGGAGUGGGAAAGGGGGCUGUUUUAGAUUAAAAGUGCUUGAGAUCCAUAACAGCAAAAUGCAAUGUGUGUUCCCUCUUUGCAUCCUGGUUUGAACAAACCAGAUAUGAAAGCAAUUGUGGAGAAAAGUAGGUAUUAGAUGGUAAUAAAAGUUACGGAAAUUUUGUUAGGUCUGUUACAAAGGAGAAUUUUUUUUAGCAGAAAGAUAAUUUUUUUAUUGAUGUAUAGUUGACAAGCAAUAUUAUAUUAGUUUCAGGUGUACAAUAUAGUGAUUCAACAUUUAUGAAAUGAUCACCACACGUCUAGUAACCAUCUGUCACAUACAAAGUUAUUACAAUGUUAUUGACUAUAUUCCCCAUGCUGUACCUUACAUCCCCAUGAUUUAUUUAUUUUAUAACUGGAAGUUUGUACCUCUUAAUCCCCUUCACCUAUUUCGCCCAUCCCCCCAAGAAUGUUUUUAUUUAUUGGAGAUGAAUGUUUGUUGUGCUGUUCUUUCUACUUUUCAAGGUAUUUUAAAUAUCUCAUUAAAAAGAUAUUCUGGGAAUGGAGUAGAGAC
ensembl:lncRNA